GACGAACGCUGGCGGCGUGCUUAACACAUGCAAGUCGUACGGUAAGGCCCUUUCGGGGGUACACGAGUGGCGAACGGGUGAGUAACACGUGAGUAACCUGCCCACAACUUUGGGAUAACGCUAGGAAACUGGUGCUAGUACUGGAUAUGUGCUCCUGCUGCAUGGUGGGGGUUGGAAAGCUCCGGCGGUUGUGGAUGGACUCGCGGCCUAUCAGCUUGUUGGUGGGGUAGUGGCCUACCAAGGCGGCGACGGGUAGCCGGCCUGAGAGGGUGACCGGCCACAUUGGGACUGAGAUACGGCCCAGACUCCUACGGGAGGCAGCAGUGGGGAAUAUUGCACAAUGGGCGCAAGCCUGAUGCAGCAACGCCGCGUGCGGGAUGACGGCCUUCGGGUUGUAAACCGCUUUCAGCAGGGACGAAGCUUUUUGUGACGGUACCUGCAGAAGAAGCACCGGCUAACUACGUG
rnacentral:rRNA from 1 species